AACCUCCAGAUUCCUUUCGGGUCAGAUCUAAAUAGUGGUCGGAACGGUUACGAAAGGAGGAAAGGCAAAACUGAAAGGGCUUCGAUUCUUUUGUGACAUAUAAGUUGAUUUCAAACAACA
rnacentral:snoRNA from 1 species